UCCCUGGUGGCUCAGAUGGUAAAGAAUCUGCCUGCAAUGCAGGAAACCUGGGUUCGAUCCCUGGGUUGGGAA
rfam:TPA: Bos taurus chromosome 9, whole genome shotgun sequence.